UACAGAGGUCCCAAGCGUUGUUCGGAUUCAUUGGGCGUAAAGGGUGCGUAGGCGGCGCGGUAAGUCGGGAUGUGAAAUCUCGGAGCUUAACUCCGAAACUGCAUUCGAUACUGGCGUGCUUGAGGACUGGAGAGGAGACUGGAAUUCAUGGUGUAGCAGUGAAAUGCGUAGAGAUCAUGAGGAAGACCAGUGGCGAAGGCGGGUCUCUGGACAGUUCCUGACACUGAGACACGAAGGCCAGGGGAGGCAAACGGG
rnacentral:rRNA from 1 species